GACGAACGCUGGCGGCGUGCUUAACACAUGCAAGUCGAGCGGUAAGGCCCUUUCGGGGGUACGACGAGCGGCGAACGGGUGAGUAACACGUGGGUGACCUGCCCUCAGCUCUGGGAUAAGCCUGGGAAACCGGGUCUAAUACUGGAUAUGACUCCAUGACGCAUGUUGUGGGGUGGAAAGCCUUGUGCGGCUGAGGAUGGGCCCGCGGCCUAUCAGCUUGUUGGUGGGGUGANGGCCUACCAAGGCGACGACGGGUAGCCGGCCUGAGAGGGCGACCGGCCACACUGGGACUGAGACACGGCCCAGACUCCUACGGGAGGCAGCAGUGGGGAAUCUUGUGCAAUGGGCGAAAGCCUGACGCAGCGACGCCGCGUGAGGGAUGACGGCCU
rnacentral:rRNA from 1 species